UCAAACAAAAGUUGUUCUUUAAGGUUGGGAGGAAUACACCUGAAAGGCCUCUCGGGUAACGGGUGGGUCACUUGGUGUCCGGUGUGGCAGCUCCUCGGACCGCCUAGGGUAAUGACCAACAAAAGAGAGAGCGGUGAUUCCGGUCUUUCAAUAAUUGUUCUCAACUUGCGCCGGGUGGUGUGCUGCCCGGGAAUGUGUCCGCUUCCUUUCGGGGGACGAAAGGGAAGUGAGAGAGACAGUGUCCAGUGGGUGCUGUGAUGAACCCACUCUACCACAAAGUCCAUGGUGGUCUUCCAAUGCCUUGCAAAGAAGGGGCCCCCAGACAGCUCGUGCAUCCUGACCAACGUGCUGCGUGUCUACAACCUCCCCCCAGAGAUCUACAGCUACAACUGGAACCUGCUCACGGAGAUGAGUCCAGUGCUGAAGAUGGCAGAGGGGGAUACCAUCUAUGACUACUGCUGGUAUCCCAAGAUGAGCCCUCUGGAUCCAAACUCCUGCUUGUGAGUUCAGCAGCCAUCCUCUGCUACUACCACCACUCAUAUCAGAGAUAUGCCCCUUAGCAUUCGCUUAUAAAGAGAUGUUUUAUUGUUACAUACUGUACAUCGGAUAGGUACAGGGAAAUGUGUCGUUUUACAGGAUCAGCCAUAGUAGUAUAGCGCCCCUUGGAGAAAAUUAGGGUAAAGUGCCUUGCUCAAGGGCACGUUGAUAGAUUUUUGCAUCUUAUCAGCUCAUGGAAUUAAACCAGUGACCUUUCAGGCCCAACACUCUAACCGCUAGGCUACCUGCCGCCCUGUAUCCUGUAUCAAAGCGGUUUAUAGUAUGUGACCCAGUCUUUGACGGGUCCCAAAAAGUUGGACCCAUUCCCGAAAUGGAUCCGCAGACCUGUUCUGAAUGGACCUGAGGCCAGUCAGGCAUGUUACGAAAAGGCCCAUGCUGGUUAGGAUACGAGAGACCAGUUCAGCUCCGAGAGAGAAAGAAACGCUGCCAGCUCCAUCAAUAAACUGAUAUUGGCCAAGUGAUAUUGGCCAAAUGAUCCACAGUUAACUGCCUAUAAAAAUGACACAAAAUAAAAAACAAUUUGUUACAUUUCGAUGUGUAGCAUAUUCAAAAGUGUAUAGCCUGUUUUAUUGAUUGAUUAUUCUUUUUUCCUGUCAGAGAUUUGAGCACUAAAUGCAUUAGGGCGUUGCAUGCAUAUGAGCCCACUGUAUGAUAAUAAUAUUGGAAAACAUAUAAAGGAAAAGAAGCUUAGCCCUAGAGAGAUGGAGAGUAG